rfam:Sulfolobus acidocaldarius DSM 639, complete genome.
GCCGCGGUAGCUCAGCCUGGCUAGAGCGUUGCCCUGGUAAGGCAAAGGUCCCGGGUUCAAAUCCCGGCCGCGGCU